ensembl:lincRNA
GGCCUCUCCUCCCUACUGUCUGCUCUCGCAGGCUGGUUUGUUAUGGCAUGAAAGAUGGCUCCGUGGAAUAAAGAUGUUUCCCCUCUGAUGAGCACAUUUGCAGAAGGAGGAGGACUGACACCAGCCACACGUAUGUCUGCUGCUGACAAAUGUGCGCACGCCUUGGAGGGCGGGGCCAGGCAGGACAGAGCCGCCCAUGACAGGGGGACACCUCCUGGUAAGAUUUUCUUCUCUAUCCCUCACACCUGCCCCUUUCAUCACUCCUCAAGGAGCCCUGCUUCUGAAAGUCCCGGGUGGGAAACGCACUAAUGUGCAAAGCACCAUCCUUGUCCUCUUCCAUCCAAUUCCCUGGUGAGUAAGGGAGCUUCCCUCCCUGUGCUUUUCUCCCUUCCUGGCUUUUCUAAGGGCAGUCACAUAAUUAAUUCUUAGAACUGUCCAAUUAUAUUUGACACUUAAUUUAAAACUCAAGGUUCCAUAAUGCAAAUCUUCUCCUGGUAAGAAGGGUGACAUGCACAUUGAACAUGUAGGCAACCUGACAGGUUGGAGGGGCAGUUCUGUGUGACUCCCAGAGAGGGAAGGGAGCUGACUUUUAUUGAACACCUACUUUAUAUCCAGUGAUUUCCAUCGAUUACCUCACUUCCUUCCCACAACCCUAUGAGGCAAGUACUGUUACUGCAUCCAUUGUGCAGACAAGGACACCAAGACCCAACACGACUAAUUUACCCAAGGUCAUCCUGUUAGGGAAGAGCCCAAGCUAGGAUUCAUGGUCUUGAGAUCUUGAGAGCCCCUUAUGUCUUUGUGCGAUUCAAUUCCUCCUUCAAGGAUGAAAGCAGGAAUCCCCGAAAAUGGAAACUUCCUUCCCAUGAGGGUGGGAGUCAGAGGCAGACUCCGGCUGCACAUCACAGAAUGCCUAGCUACAGCAGCUUACUUGGUGCAGGUUACUUGUCCCACAUACCAAGAAACCCAGAGGCAGGGCCAUCCAGAGCUGGAGCAGCUCAGUGAUGACUUCAAGAACUGAGACUCUUUCUAUCUUCCUGCUUCACCAUCCUUGCAUUCUAACUUCUUGCAUUUUGGUUGCAAAGAGACCUCUGCAACACAAAGCAUCGUAUCUUCAGUCCAGGGAGGGAAGAGGGUUUAAAAAAAAGGGAUAAAAGGAAUUCCCCCAGCCAAGGCUUUGUCUUUUUAUUUGGGAAGAGGAACCCUCCCCAGCAGACUUCCCCUUGCCUGUGAUUGGCCAGAUCCCAUCUCUCUCACCUUCUCCCCACCUACACCAGUUGUUGGCCAAGGGAAUGAGUUGUCAUGACUUGUUUAGACCAAUCAUGAUUCAUCUCCUGGGACUGGCAGACGGCCCUUGAUCUUUGCCUCCCUAAGAUCAAAGAAUCUCCAGUUGCUAAUUAUGCAAGUCACAUUGUUAACAGGGAAGGAGUGGGGAUGGCUGUUGGAUAUGCAACGGACAGUGUCUGCCACACCCAGCUCUUAUCCUUAGCCACCUCUUGGUCUGAUGGAAGAGACCUGAGUCCCAACUGGAGAAUGACUCUGAUAUUCUGGGUAUGUGCACAGACAGCUUUGAGGAGUUUUGGAAAUUUGGUUCCCUUCUAAGCUACCACUAUUUCUGGGGUCUGCCUACCUCGACACCCCUAAGGGGGAGGGGGAGAAUUUGUGCUUUGUCCUCUGGACCCGGGUCUAUUGAUCUAUGUGUGAGUGGACAGGGGUGACCCCAUGAUCACUCCCCCAUGUGUAAGCUCCAGAGCAAGCUGUGGCCUCUGCUUGGGACAGACAAUGUCCUGAGUGGUUAACUCUGGAAACCAGUGUGCCUGGGUAUCAAAAUGAGAGCCUGGACAUCUUAUCCAUACAUCUCACACUCCUGCUUUGUAAAAUCAAUGGGAAGGGGGUUGUUCCCUUCCCACCUCCAUCUGCAGCUGGGGCAUGACAGAGCAUCCCCCAGUCGUGGUACUCAUGGGGAAGUUCUUAUCACUGUCUCCUUCCUAUUCAGCUGGGGGCAGAUUCACUUGCUAGGAGGAGCAUCUGUCAGGAAGUAGGCAGGAACCAGGCGGCACACUCGACAGGAACGUGCUCAUCACCUGUCCCACAGGAUUACAAAGGCCAUUUCUGGGCUCCUGGCUGCCUCGCUCAUUUACCCCAAGACUUCUGAUACUCUCCAAAUCUUCUUCAGGUGUCUCCUCCAUGCAGAUGGGAAGGCUGGUAGGAGGUUUCUGAGUCCUAUAGCCCCAUCUCAGGCCCCUCCAUGUGCAAACUAGGUCACAUCUCUCUUUCCUUGAGGCCCCAGUGGCUUCCCAUAUUCCUGAGACUAAAACUCAAACUCUUUACCCUGACCUACAAGUAGAGUGACCGUCAUCCCAACAAUAUUAUUAGGAGAGCGACCUUUCAGUUUCAAUGCAUUCUAGUCUGGAUGAUAAAUUACAAGGUCACCCUAUCACACAGCAGGCUUUUUGUGUCCCCAGCCUCCUCUCCUCCAGCUGGCUCUGCUUACCUGCCUUGCUCCAGCCAGGCAGAGAAGUUCCCUGAAGCAGCCACGCUCUCGCCCACCACAUCACCCUCAUGCACAAGUUACCUCCACCUGGAACAUUCUACCCCGGUUUCUUCCCCUGCCUAAUUUCUACUCAGCUCUCAGGCCUGAUUUAGAUGUUCCUUUUUUCAGAGGAGUCCUUUAUGGCCCAUCAACCUUAAGUUGGGUCCUCCCUCUCUCCUGUCAUACAAAUGCUUAUUUCUCAUAGUGCCAGAAUCAUCAGUUGUAUCUGUUUCCCCCACUAGAUUGUAAGCACCAUGAAGGCAGAGGUCAUUGUAUCUCCAGAACCUAGCAUGGGGCUGUUGCCCCAUAACCAUAUGUUUUAUGAAUGAAUAAAUGGAUGAAUGAAAACACAGUGUUUCCCAUAAAUGCACACACACACACACACACGCAUACACACCCCUCCAAGAUACCAAGCCCACCACAAUCAUCUCCAGGGAGAUGUAAUUCUGGCACAAUCUGAGCUUCCCAGCAGCAAAACAUGCCAUUCUGAGUUGCUUACCCCAUGAAGGGUUCAAACAAGGGCCAUCUGUCAGGAAAGGAGACACAUGGACUGAGGAAUAUUGCCUUGCAGGCUUCUGAACGAUGAUUGAUUCUCAUCCUCCCUCACACAGGACAGCAGCCAGAUUACCUCCAACUCCAGACUACCACAUUCAACACCACAGUGAACAUCUCUGUAUGUGUCCCAUUAUGGUCUCAUGUGAAAAUUCCCCUGGAAUAGAGAUGUCCCAGGUAGCUGAAUUGAUGGGCCAUUGGGGAUGUAUAUUCUUAAUUGAAUUAAUCCCCCCUUUUUUAUUUCUUUCUUUUUUUUCUUUUGGCUUGUACAAGUUCUAGAAUUCUUGGACUGAUUAUCCAUCUUGACAAAGGAGGCCUUGAAUCAAAUUUAAUCUGGUAAAAAAAUAAAUAUACCUUUCUUUUCUGCAAUAGACUAAAUGUAUAGUCCCCACAAAAUUCAUUUUAACCCCCAAGAUGAUGAUGUUAGAAAGUGGGGACUUUGUGAGGUGAAUAGGUCCUAAUGGUAGAACCCUCAUGCAUAGGUUUAGUGCACUUAUCAAAGAGACAUCGGAGAGAUCCCUUGUGCCUUCUGCCAUGUGAGUUAUAGUGAGAAGACAGCCAUCUACUAGGAAUCAGAACGUCAUCAGACACCAAAUCUGCCAGCACCUUGAUCUUAGAUUUCCCAGAUUCCAGAACUGUUAGAAAUAAAUUUCUGUUGUUUAUAAGCCACCCAGUCUAUGGUAUUUUGUUAUGGCAGCCCGAAAAGACUAAGACAUAUGCCAAGCACCAUAGGAAAUGUGCUACCUGCUAUAGACACAUCUUCUAUGUGCCAUUAUCCACCCUUUAAAUAAAGGCCUUAGAAUGAGCUGGGCAAUGGAGG